GGGGGAUAGGGGGGUAUGAAGGGAAAGGUGGUCCCGUCAUCCGUGACCACGGCGUAGUAUGUAUCGGACCAGGCAUCAGUCCCCGUCUGUGGGGGGUCCUGGGGCUCCUUGAGGCUGCGAAUGGCCGUUCCUAUCUGUGUGUCGGUCCGCUAUGUAGAGUAGCCACGGGCGCCACCUCUCCACAUGCUUGUCCUCUAGUCCUCGAAGUGUAGC